rnacentral:snRNA from 1 species
GUACUCGCUUUGGCAGUACAUAUACUAAAAUUGGAAUGAUACAGAGAAGAUUAGCAUGGUCCCUGCGCAAGGAUGACAUGCAAAUUGAUGAAGCAUUCCAUAAAAAA